CCUACGGGUGGCAGCAGUGAGGAAUAUUGGUCAAUGGACGCAAGUCUGAACCAGCCAUGCCGCGUGCAGGAAGACGGCUCUAUGAGUUGUAAACUGCUUUUGUACGAGGGUAAACCCAGAUACGCGUAUCUGUCUGAAAGUAUCGUACGAAUAAGGAUCGGCUAACUCCGUGCCAGCAGCCGCGGUAAUACGGAGGAUUCAAGCGUUAUCCGGAUUUAUUGGGUUUAAAGGGUGCGUAGGCGGUCUGAUAAGUUAGAGGUGAAAUCUCGAGGCUCAACUUCGGAAUUGCCUCUAAUACUGUUCGGCUAGAGAGUAGUUGCGGUAGGCGGAAUGUAUGGUGUAGCGGUGAAAUGCUUAGAGAUCAUACAGAACACCGAUUGCGAAGGCAGCUUGCUAGGCCGGAUCUGACACUGAUGCACGAAAGCGUGGGGAUCGAACAGGAUUAGAUACCCGUGUAGUC
rnacentral:rRNA from 1 species